rnacentral:rRNA from 1 species
UGGGGAAUAUUGCACAAUGGGCGCAAGCCUGAUGCAGCCAUGCCGCGUGUAUGAAGAAGGCCUUCGGGUUGUAAAGUACUUUCAGCGAGGAGGAAGGCAUUAAGGUUAAUAACCUUGAGUUGAUGACUGUACUCGCAGAAGAAGCACCGGCUAACUCCGUGCCAGCAGCCGCGGUAAUACGGAGGGUGCAAGCGUUAAUCGGAAUUACUGGGCGUAAAGCGCACGCAGGCGGUCUGUCAAGUCGGAUGUGAAAUCCCCGGGCUCAACCUGGGAACUGCAUUCGAAACUGACAGGCUAGAGUCUUGUAGA